rnacentral:rRNA from 1 species
UACGUAGGGGGGCUAGCGUUAUCCGGAAUUACUGGGCGUAAAGGGUGCGUAGGUGGUUUCUUAAGUCAGAGGUGAAAGGCUACGGCUCAACCGUAGUAAGCCUUUGAAACUGGGAAACUUGAGUGCAGGAGAGGAGAGUGGAAUUCCUAGUGUAGCGGUGAAAUGCGUAGAUAUUAGGAGGAACACCGGUGGCGAAGGCGGAUCUCUGGGGCCGAUAUCGACGUGAGGAGCGAAAAGCG